rnacentral:tRNA from 2 species
AGGGCCUUGGUCUAACGGUAGGGCAGCGGUCUCCAAAACCGCAGGUUCCGGUUCGAUUCCGGGAGGUUCUG